UCUUAUCGCUGAGGGAGAAAAAAAGGCAGCAGCAGCAAAAACAGGAAAUGCUGUUAAACAGAAAGUUCAUACCAAAUACGUCAGAAAGCCCCAGAACCUCAUACACAUUAUUUCAAGAACUGCCAUCUCUAAGUUUAGCCUGAGCAACAAUUGAUUUACUGUCUACAGGCUUAGCUCUCACAAGUUGUGCGAUGAUUAUCCUACUAAUUAUUCUUGUUGUAAUUACUGCGACUGAGGAGCAUUCCACAGUUACAGCUAGAGAUCCGGUAUAUCCUGCACGCGUUUUUGGACAUUCUCAUGUUAAAGUGGGGGAAUGUUUUGAGCUGAAGUGCAGCACAUUUGGAACGAAGAAUGAAGGGGAAAAACGCUUUGUUUACCUCUGCAAGAAUGGAGUCGCCAUAGAGAUGUCCCAGACCAAAAGUCAAGACUCCUCUUUCCUAAUGAAAAGUGCCACUAAGGAACAUACAGGAAACUACAGUUGUCUGUCCUCCAGAACAGAACAGAAUGUCAGUGAGGUGAAAGGAGAUGGAGAGAAUUCCAUCUUCAUCCAAGUGAUUGAUAGAGUAUACCCAGCAGUGAUAGCUGGUGAAACAUCUGUGAGAUCAGGGACAGAUGUGGAUUUCAACUGCACCUCAGAAGAUGCCCCAGACACAGGCCUCCUUUUGGCAUUCCUCUGGAGGAAUCAAACCAUCGUUGACAUUGAAAUGUGGAAUUCUCAGCAGAAACAGGCUAGUUUCCAUCUAAUAGGAGUCCAGGAGAGAGACUCGGGCAACUAUAGCUGUGUGGUAUCAGAGCGACCGCUUGCUGCAACAGAGUUGGACAUGUGUGGAGGGAAUUCAGUCUUCCUGCAGGUUUACGGUAAGAAUUGCAAAAAUAUUAACACCAUGCCUCAAACUAAAGUUAGACAGUAGGCUGUGUGGGACAUGUGUUGUAGUGUUUAUUAUGAGAAGGCUAAUAUGUGAGUACAUGCAGAGUAUACAAUUCUUAC
ensembl:lncRNA